UCUCAACCUUCUAAGUAGCAAGGAUUAUAUGAGCCACCAGUGGAGGGCUUAGCUUCUUCACUUUUUAAAGCUUUAUAUCUUAAGCAAAAUAAGCUGGAAACUAUAAUAAGUAUAUAUGUAGCCGUUUUCUGCCAUAUUUACACACCUAUGAAACUCUAUUGACCAAUCUGAUGUCUGUCUUGAAACCUUUAAGACUCCAAAUUCUUUCCUCCUUUAGUAGCCUCCAACAGAUUACUCUAUACAGUUCUAAUUGCCAGAAAUAGGAAGCAACGUUACAGGCCUUUCAGCUGCCUGAUAGGUAAGUCUCCAAACCCUAAAAUCCUUCUCUGAACAGGUUCUGGGAGUCCUUAUAUAUGCAACAGACACCACCAACAAAGAAAAAAGCGUAACCACAGUUAUCAACCUUUCUUUCCCCCUUGAAUAUAAUAGCCCUGUGCACUUUCCCAGGACCGGCUAGGUUACAGCUCUCUAGUC